AGUGAACGCUGGCGGUAGGCCUAACACAUGCAAGUCGAACGGCAGCACAGUAAGAGCUUGCUCUUACGGGUGGCGAGUGGCGGACGGGUGAGGAAUACAUCGGAAUCUACUUUUUCGUGGGGGAUAACGUAGGGAAACUUACGCUAAUACCGCAUACGACCUACGGGUGAAAGCAGGGGAUCUUCGGACCUUGCGCGAUUGAAUGAGCCGAUGUCGGAUUAGCUAGUUGGCGGGGUAAAGGCCCACCAAGGCGACGAUCCGUAGCUGGUCUGAGAGGAUGAUCGGCCACACUGGAACUGGAACACGGUCCAGACUCCUACGGGAGGCAGCAGUGGGGAAUAUUGGACAAUGGGCGCAAGCCUGAUCCAGCCAUACCGCGUGGGUGAAGAAGGCCUUCGGGUUGUAAAGCCCUUUUGUUGGGAAAGAAAAGCAGCAGGUUAAUACCCCGCUGUUCUGACGGUACCCAAAGAAUAAGCACCGGCUAACUUCGUG
rnacentral:rRNA from 1 species